CAAACCAGCAGCGCGCCAUGGCGGCCGCCAUGGAGGAGGAGCCCCAGGACUCGCCGGAGCCGGCGGCGCGGGAGCCGCGAGUGCGGGACACCCCCGAGGACAUCUGUCUGGAGGCCACGGCCAACGCCAUCGCGCUGCACCCGGCGCGGCCGCUGCUGGCCGCGGGAGACGUGGACGGCGACGUGUACCUGUACUCGUACUCCUGCACUGAGGGAGAGAACCGGCAGCUUUGGUCCUCGGGGCAUCACCUCAAGUCGUGCCGGGACGUGGCGUUCUCCCAGGACGGGCAGAAGCUUUUCACUGUGUCCAAGGACAAGUCCAUCCACAUCCUGACAGCGGAGGAGGGACGGCUGGAAACGCGCUUCCCCAAGGCCCACGACUCAGCCCUCAACUGCGUGUUGCCCAUCGACAACCACGUCUUUGCCACGGGCGACGAUGGCGGGGCAGUGAAGGUGUGGGACCUGCGCAGGGGCAGUGCCAUCCUGGAGGCACGGCAGCAGGAGGAAUACAUCAGUGCCAUGACUGUGGAUGGCAACGGGAAGAUCCUGCUGACAGCCUGUGGUGAUGGCACCCUGGGUGUCUUCAACGUGAAGAGACGGCGCUUUGAACUGCUCUCGGAGCCGCAGAACGGGGACCUGACAUCUGUCGUGCUGAUGAAGAGGGGGAGGAAGGUGGCAUGUGGCUCCAGCGAAGGCACCAUCUACCUCUUCAACUGGGAUGGCUUUGGGGCCGCCAGUGACCGAUUUGCGCUGAGGGCAGAGACCAUUGACUGCAUGGUGCCCAUCACAGACAGCAUCGUGUGUGUGGGGUCCCUGGACGGAGUCAUCAGGGCGGUGAACGUGCUGCCGAACCGCGUGCUGGGCUGCGUGGGGCAGCACCUGGGCGAGCCCAUCGAGCAGCUGGCCGUGGCUGAGGACGGGAAGCUACUGGCCAGCAGCGGCCACGACCAGAAGGUGAAGUUCUGGGACGUGUCGGCGCUCGGGUCCAUGGUGGUCGAUGAUUACCGCCGGAAGAAGAAGAAGGGCGGGCCGCUGCGCGCCCUCAGCAGCAAGGCGCUGGGCAGCGGGGAGGAUUUCUUCGCCGACCUGCGGGAGGAGGCCGAGCCGGAGGCGGCGGCGGCGGGGAAGGGCGGUGACAGCAGCGACAGCGACAGCGACUGAGCGGCCGCGCGGGGCCGGGGGCGCCGCCCCCUCAGCGCUGCCGCCCGCCCCUUGCGGGGGCGGGGCUCUGCCCCUGCGUCUCGCGGGGCGCGGCCAAUCAGAGUCGCAGCCCGUGGGAGUGCCCGCCUACGGGGCGUGGCCACGCCGUAAUGGUACCACUGUCGGUGGGCAGGGCGCUGGCGUUCUGAUUGGCUCCUAGGGCUGCCACUCAAGGUGGGCUGCAGGCGCAGUCUUAAAGGGGCAGCGCGUGUCGGAGCAGCGCCUUGUGCUGAUGGUCUGGCUCAUCCUCAUGAGGCAAGGACUUCUGGUGUACCCCAGGAGGGACAGACAGACUUCCAGAGAGUGCAAAAAAGAACUUUAAAAGUGCACCAAAAGGCUCUUGGAGGAUCCUGGGGAUUUCCAAAAAGAAGAAGGAUGGGACUUGGGUGCUGCCAAAGGGACUUGGUGCAUCUAGAUGUGCAUCACAAUGUGCCAUGAGUGGGGAGGGGGAGAGGGACUGGGAUCCCUCCCGGGCUGGGUUCCUCCCUGGGGAUGAGCAGAGUGGGCAGCGGGUGCAGGGCCUGGAACAGCGUCAGAUAUGGCUGGACACUGCGGCCAAGGCCCCUGGGGACCCCGUCGAUUUGCUGGGGAAUGGGAAGGAUCUGGUGCAGUUCUGACAGGAUUUCUGAUCUUGGCUGCAGCUCGCGUUCCCCAGCUGAUUCCUGGCACUGCCUGGGACCCCUUGGACCACCAACUGCAGCCCCCAGGUGCUGCUGGCCCAGGGGCUCAUGUUGCACUUGCUGGGAUGGGACGGGACAUAGCCAGAGGCAUUACUGGAGCUGGGGGUGGGCCAUCUAUGAAACUGACGGACACCUGGAGUCCCUGGAGAGCAUAAAGGUGUGUCUCAGUUUGAAAGACACGUGUCUGCUGAGGAAGGCAGGAGCCUCCCUUGGAACGGAAAAUACGACCCCCUUCUCUCCAAAUUAUAAUUUUGAACUUAAGGGGUUUUCAGGCAAAGAGAUGAGAAAAGGAAUAACAGUUCUUUACUAGUCUGUACAUGGAUAACAAGGCUAACAAAGAGUAACUAUGGCAGUAACAACAAACAGAACCGGACACCCGGUGCCGGCCGCUCCGCUGCAGGCCCUGUGCUCUCGGUGCAGCUCCGCUCGCGGCCGCCAGGGGCGCUGGUAGCUCCAGCCGGGCAGGGCGGGCGCGGUGACUCCCCGCGCCUGCAGGGGGCGCUGUGCCGCCAGCUCGGCCGCCUCUCUCCACACGGCAAUGGUGGGUGCAGACGGCGGAAGGGAUGGGGAAAAGGCUUCCUCUAGGAACUCACAGGGGCAGCCGAUCCCGGUGCCCCCUCUGGAUAGCAAAAGGAGCUGUGUAGCAGGGACCUCGGGUAGCAAGCUGGGAAGGCAGGGAUGAGCAAAGUCCUGGGGUGGUGGACGAGAUGCAUCGGAAACUCGGCAGCUGUAGCUGGAAAGGGAGGGCAUCCAGGCAGGGCAGGGGGUGCACGUUACAGUGCAGCAAAGAAACCUUGGAGCAGGGGCAGAGGAACGGCGGGGGCUUGGGCAGUGGCCACCUGGCUCUUGAACACCUCCGAGACAGAAACUCCCUUGGAGGAGGCUCGGGGAUCCCAGGGUUUCCCCUGAGGCACCCCAGCAGAUGGUGAAGGGUCUUUUGUUUGGUGAGGCAGGGUGAUAAUAAGGUCCCAGUUCAGUGGCUGCUCUCACAAGCAACGGAGAAGCAGGACCGGGCUGGGCUCCGGUGGUGGCAGCGAGUUCUGUCCCCCCCAGGCAGCAGCUCUGACGGUUCUCUGAAGCCGAGAGAGCAAGAGGCACCAGCAGCUGCCCCAGCUCCUUUUUCCAGCCCAAUUCUCACAGUAUCUCUGCCCCGCCGAGAGAAACCCUCAGAUAAGAAGUGCAGCCAGGUGCCUUCCCUCCUCUCCUGAGCUUGGCAACUUCUUUUGUCUCUCAUAAGCACCCGGUUGUUAUUGUUCCUUAGCAACAAAAAUGGGGGGAAAUUCCUUAAGAGAGGGAAAAUCAAAAGGAAAAACCCUAACCUCCAACGAGGUGCAACCUCCCCGAGGUCCACCCAAAGACACGGGGGAGGGUGGGCAUCAGGAAGCACUUGGAGGAGCCUGAGGGGUAUCAAAAGCUGGUCGGAAAGAGCUCAGUGAGUAGAAGACAACAAAGAUCGAGGUACCAGGGAGUGCUGCUUCCCACACAAUGGGCCCACCAGGUUGUGAAAGGCUCCAAAUCCCACCUGUCCCUUCCCCUGCCUUUCCUGGUGUGGGGGGGAGAGCACCGAGAUGCGCUGUACAGGCAGGGAGCUGAGGAUGCAGGAGGAAAAGAUGACAUGACACAGCUGAUGCAUUCCAGAAUUCUUUAGUUUUAAUUCCAAAAGAACAACAUGUGGCCACACCUCCCACUCCCGAGGAAUCAUUUCAUAGACAGCUGGGAACCCCACAGCUGUUUCCUCACUACACAACCAGGUUACAGGCACUCCUCUCUCCACACAGUAGCUCCACCAGCCCACAGAACAUCUGUGGCCACUGGGAUGCUCCCUGUGUGUGGCCUUGUCCUCAUCUGAGGCUGUUCCUCAGAAACCAGGAAUGCCGGUGGAGGAAUUCCCUCCAUCACACUGGCAUCUGGUGCUGGCAGCCCCUCCAAGAGCUGCUGCUUCUCCAGGAUCUGCUCCUCCCAUGCAACACAAGCCAGCUUAAAAGAAGCCAAACUGGGCAGGAAAACCAACAACUCAAAACGAGAACCAACUCAAGGGCUGACCGGGGACAGGGCAGCUGCCGUCGACCAGAACAGUGGCCCUUAUCCUCCAGAGCCAGCUCUCAAACCAUUGCAAACAGCUCAAAGGAAAGCUGGAACAGGGCUGGGACCCCAGCAGGGCUCAGGCUCAAUCAUGGCUUCAGCAGAGCGGCUGCCUACGUCAGCUGGCAACCUGCAGUGGAGAGGGAAGAAUCAGGCUCUGCCCUCACCCCAAAACCCCCUCCUCUUGCAUCCUGUGCUUCCAACCAGGAAUCCCACCUGCAGCUCAGAGGUGAGUGUUUCAGCCCUGCCUGCCAGCCUGGCUCCCUCCCUGCACCGACCCACCCCACCCUAGAAGUGCCACAGCUCCACACUCCCAGGAGACACUUCAGGACUUUGGGAGAGGCAGGAGGUUGGCACAGAUGCCAUGCAAGGACUGACCAAGGACUCACCUAACACCUGGAGAAUGUGCAGGGCUGCUGCCAUCUUGACCUUCUCGUGCUCGUUCUGGCCCUGCUUGUCCUGCAAGACCCACGUGAACCCACUGAUGGGCAUGUGGUAUCCUGGGAUCACCACCUGGUACCAGAACCGCUGCCACCCGUCGGCGUUCACCUGGACACACUUGGUGGUGAACAGGGGUGUCCUCAGGCGAUGCCUCCAGCUCAGGAUGUUUGGGCACUCUAGCAAUGGAGGCAGGGCUGCCGGCCUGGGCACUGCCAGGCUCUUGUCUCCGUGCACUCCGUUGGACGAUGGCUCCUCCUCCCAGAGCUGCAGCUUCUGCUUCAUUUGGGGGUCCAGCCAGUCCACCCUCAUCCCUGCUCCCCUGAGCCUCAGGUUCCCUAGGAGACAGGAGAUGCUCACCUGCCCACCAUCCCAUGCCAUCCCAUCCCAUCCCUCAGCAUCUGUUGCAGUGAUCUCCAGGAUUUUAGGGGCAGCUUGACUUGAGGGGCAAGGUGAACAGAUAUCAAAACCAAAUGCUUCUCAGCUGGGGCAGAAAUGGCUACAAACCAGGACUUUGGAGGUCCCAGCUGGACGUCUGGGAAGUGUGUCCCAUCAGGACAUUACAAUCGUGGGAUGGGGCUCAGCGGGAUUGAGCAGCUCCACUGGGAGGGUUUAAGGGACACUGAGGGGUUGGGCAGAUCCACUGGGAGGUUUAAUAACUUGGUCAAUGUUCUGGAUGCCCUGAACUGGUACUGGUGAUGCUCCUGCUCUGAGCAGGCAGACCUCCAGCAGCUCUUUCAUCCCACCACCACUAGGACUGCUGGAAAUCAACUGUACCAUGGGCAGCUGACAUUCCAUGAGGACACGGAGAGAGCAAGGCUGAAGUCACCUUGCAGCCAAGCCUGGAGGUAGGAAACACCAGGAAGACCAGCCCAAGCAGCAUCCCUCAGCACCACUCACCUUCCGUCAGGGCUUUUUUGGCCAGGGCAGCAGCCUCGUGCGACCUGUACUUCAGCACAGCGAGCUUGGUGGGUCUCUGGCAGGGGCUGGUGUGCAGGGUGACACUGAGGAUCCCCUCAGUGACCAUCUGCAGCAUGGCCUGCAGCUCCUGCUGGCUCACCGAGAUGUCCAGGCCGUUGACAAUGAGCUCAUGCUUCUGCGUGCUCCGGCACACCACAAUGGCGCAGCCCUUGCGCAUCUGGAAGCGGUGGAAGGUGGCGAUGGCGUUGCUGGCAUCCUGCAGGGAGGUGUACCUGGCGUAGGCGAAGCCCCGGUUGAGCCCGCUGAAGGUCAUCAUGAGGCGGAACUCGUAGAGCUUCCCCACGCUCUCGAACAGCGGGAUCAGGGUGUUCUCGUAGAUGUCCUGCGGCAGCCUCGCGAUGUACACCUCGGUGCCGGCCGGUGGUGGGCCGCCCACCCAGCCUGCAGGGGACACGGUGCCCGUGGUGAGCCCUGCCGUGCUCCCAGGGCCCCACAGCUGAGCUGCUCUCCUGACAUACCUGGGGGAGGCCCUCCGUAGCGCCUCUGCCCGUUGAUUUGCACCAGCUCAAUGCCAGUCUCCUUCUCCCAGGCAAGCAGGGCCAUCUUACUGGCCUCGUUGAUUCCGUUGGUCCACAUCUGAAGAAGGAGAUGAUAGUGGUGAUUGUCUGAGCAAAGAGCUUUCAGCUCCCAACUGGGAGCAUCCCAACCCCAUGAGGGAACUACAAGAUCCACUGCCAGCCAGCCAGUAGUGAAGCAAAUGAACCCCUCUGCUCUCUGAGGCCUGAGGAGCCUCCCAACACUGCCAUCCCAAGGAUUGUCCAAGCCUGCUCCACAUGACUAAGUCCAGCAACUUUGUUAGAGCCCAAAGUCACCAGCAGUUCCCUACAGCCCUGCAAGGGCUUGGAAAGCCAAAAUGCAGGCAGCAGCUGACAACUGAACUGGAAAGCUGGUGCUGCAAGAGGGGGCUGGAGCACAAAGCCAAGAUGACCCAUUGCAUCGUGACAGCUUUAAAGUGAAAGACAGUGGGUUACAUUGACUAUUGGGAAGAAAAUCAUCCCUGUGAAGAUGGUGAGGCACUGGCAGAUGUUGCCAGAGAAGCUGUGGCUGCCUGCAAGUGUUCAAGGCCAGGCUGGAUGGGGCUUGGAGCAACCUGGCUUAGUGGAAGGUUGCCUGCCAGUACAGAAAAGAUAAUAUUAAAGAGAAACAAGAACUGACAACUGAGCUGGAAAGCAGGAAUGCAGCUGAGUUAUUAUUGUCCUGAUGCCUUAGGUUUUAGCUUUUAUAUUUUUCAGAUCCUGUACUGCCUAGUAUGUAACUCUGAAACUUCAUAUAGCCUGUCAGCUACUGUUCUCAUGUUUUGGUUAGGCAUAACAAACCCUCUCUGGGCCUGAACUCAAGGACACCUUGUUGUCCCAGGCCCUAAAACAGGUAAACUGAGCCUCUGGACAGGGGGAGCAAACUUGGGGUAAUGGCAUAAUUACCUGGAAUUAUCACUGGAGAAUUAACCCUGAUAUGCAAAUGGACCAAACUUAUAAAAGUGUGAAAAACCCGUGACCCAGCGUCCAUCUUGGGUGGAGCCCCUUGGGAGCUUCUGACUGCCCAAGGUGUUCCUAUUGAAGGCACUCAAUAAAUACCUACUUUUAUUCUCUUAA